rnacentral:rRNA from 1 species
UGGGGAAUAUUGCACAAUGGGCGCAAGCCUGAUGCAGCCAUGCCGCGUGUGUGAAGAAGGCCUUCGGUUGUAAGCACUUUCAGCGAGGAGGAAGGUGGUGAGCUUAAUACGCUCAUCAAUUGACGUUACUCGCAGAAGAAGCACCGGCUAACUCCGUGCCAGCAGCCGCGGUAAUACGGAGGGUGCAAGCGUUAAUCGGAAUUACUGGGCGUAAAGCGCACGCAGGCGGUUUGUUAAGUCAGAUGUGAAAUCCCCGGGCUCAACCUGGGAACUGCAUUUGAAACUGGCAAGCUAGAGUCUCGUAGAGGGGGGUAGAAUUCCAGGUGUAGCGGUGAAAUGCGUAGAGAUCUGGAGGAAUACCGGUGGCGAAGGCGGCCCCCUGGACGAAGACUGACGCUCAGGUGCGAAAGCGUGGGGCAGCAAACAGGAUUAGAUACCCUGGUAGUCCACGCUGUAAACGAUGUCGAUUUGGAGGUUGUGCCCUUGAGGCGUGGCUUCCGGAGCUAACGCGUUAAAUCGACCGCCUGGGGAGUACGGCCGCAAGGUUAAAACUAAAUGAAUUG